CUGUGCCACUGUUUGUCCUUUGGUCUACAGGACCACAGCUGGUGGACUUUGUAGAAAUCUUGAUCAUAGGUGUUCACUUCUCUCCAAGAAGUUUGUUUGAUAAGAAAAGGAUUCACCCAGCCUUGUGGGAUGAUACAUGGACCUUCAUGGACAUGAUCCAGGACCUUCAGUUAGUGACCUAAAUGUAGUAUGGUAGUUUAACUCACUACGUUUGGCAGCAUGUCAAAGUCCUGCAAUAAUCU
rnacentral:lncRNA from 14 species